rnacentral:rRNA from 1 species
UACGUAGGGGGCGAGCGUUACCCGGAAUCACGGGGCGUAAAGGGUGCGUCGGCGGCCGCGUGUGUCUGGCGUAAAAUUCCACGGCUCAACCGUGGGUAUGCGCUGGAAACUACGUGGCUUGGGUGCGGCAGAGGCAGACGGAACUGCUGGUGUAGGGGUGAAAUCCGUAGAUAUCAGCAGGAACGCUGGUGGAGAAGUCGGUCUGCUGGGCCGUAACCGACGCUGAGGCACGAAAGCUAGGGGAGCGAACCGG